AUUGAACGCUGGCGGCAGGCCUAACACAUGCAAGUCGAGCGGAAGAAGGGCGUUUGCUCUUGGAUUCAGCGGCGGACGGGUGAGUAAUGCCUAGGAAUCUGCCUGGUAGUGGGGGAUAACGUCCGGAAACGGGCGCUAAUACCGCAUACGACCUGCGGGUGAAAGUGGGGGAUCUUAAGACCUCACGCUAUCAGAUGAGCCUAGGUCGGAUUAGCUAGUUGGCGGGGUAAAGGCCUACCAAGGCGACGAUCCGUAACUGGUCUGAGAGGAUGAUCAGUCACACUGGAACUGAGACACGGUCCAGACUCCUACGGGAGGCAGCAGUGGGGAAUAUUGGACAAUGGGCGAAAGCCUGAUCCAGCCAUGCCGCGUGUGUGAAGAAGGUCUUCGGAUUGUAAAGCACUUUAAUUUGGGAAGAAGGGCAGUAAGUUAAUACCUGGCUGUUUUGACGUUACCAACAGAAUAAGCACCGGCUAACUUCGUG
rnacentral:rRNA from 1 species